rnacentral:tRNA from 1 species
UCCUCCUUAGCUCAGUUGGUUAGAGCAUCUGACUGUUAAUCAGAGGGUCGCUGGUUCAAGUCCAGCAGGAGGAGCUA